UUGACAGCCACAGAGACUGCUGUCUUCUAUUUAUCUACAAAGCUGGUACAGCAUGGGCAAUGGUAGCAUGGGCUACUCUUUGAAUAAACUUCAACCUGGAUUUGGAGGGAAAGUAUCUGUGAGUGAAAGGGUAGUUCAUUCUCUAUGUCCAUCCUGUUUUGGCUUCU
rnacentral:sRNA from 1 species